rnacentral:rRNA from 1 species
UACGAAGGGUGCAAGCGUUACUCGGAAUUACUGGGCGUAAAGCGUGCGUAGGUGGUUCGUUAAGUCUGUCGUGAUAGCCCCGGGCUCAACCUGGGAAUGGCGAUGGAUACUGGCGGGCUAGAGUGCGGUAGAGGAGAGUGGAAUUCCCGGUGUAGCAGUGAAAUGCGUAGAGAUCGGGAGGAACAUCAGUUGCGAAGGCGGCUCUCUGGACCAGCACUGACACUGAGGCGCGAAAGCGUGGGGAGCAAACAGG